UUGCUAGGGCCGCUCCCUUAAGCCCAGUGGCUGCGGACCUGCCUGGGAGCAGAGAUGGAGAUGCCCAGGUGGCAGGGAGAGAUCCUAAAUCCUCAGCCUUGUCCUGGCCCACCGCGGAAUGGCCCGGAGAGAUGGGGGGUUGGGGAAGAACAACAGGAUGGGGAAGGGAGGGCCAAUCAGGCUCAUCUGAAUGUAGGUCAGCCACAUCCCACAUAUUGAAUACCAAUAAUCCAUCCCCUGAGAAAGGGCACCCAGGCCGGCCCUCCCUCCAGCCACGCGUCUGGUCCAAGGAGGUGCCAGGGCAGGAAUUAGAAGAGCAUGUCACUAUAUUUCCAGUUGGAGAGGGGUGCUGAGUCUGAGUGAGGAGGUGGUUUCAGUGCCAGGAGGAAUAGAAACUGGCCUAGGGCCUGAAUGGGCCUUGAACCCCUGUGACCACUCCCUUCAAGAAUGUGCCCCAACCUUAAGGACAAGUGAUUCAAAGGAGCCUGAGGGGGAUGGGAGCAAGGAUUUGGCGCCCUUCCUGUAAAACCUGGCUGACACACAAACCUAGCUGGGGUGAGGCUCUAGGUG
rnacentral:antisense_RNA from 1 species